GGGGAGCUGGCGCAACGGUAGCGCGUCAGAUUCCAGAGGUCGUGCUGGAAAUACCUGAAGGUUAUCGGUUCAAAUCCGGUGUUCCUCA